rnacentral:rRNA from 1 species
ACUCAAAGGAAUUGACGGGGGCCCGCACAAGCGGUGGAGUAUGUGGUUCAAUUCGAAGCAACGCGCAGAACCUUACCUGGUCUUGACAUCCCUUGACAACUACAGAGAUGUAGCUUUCCCUUCGGGGACAAGGUGACAAGUGCUGCAUGGCUGUCGUCAGCUCGUGUCGUAGGAUGUUGGGUUAAGUCCCGCAACGAGCGCAACCCCUGUCUUUAGUUGCCACCAUUAAGUUGAGCACUCUAAAGAGACUGCCGGUGUUAAACCGGAGGAAGGCGGGGAUGACGUCAAGUCCUCAUGGCCUUUACGACCAGGGCUACACACGUACUACAAUGGCAGAAACAAACCGUCGCGAAACCGCGAGGUGGAGCAAAUCGGAAAAACACUGCCCCAGUUCGGAUUGGAGUCUGCAACUCGACUCCAUGAAGUUGGAAUCGCUAGUAAUCGCAGAUCAGCACGCUGCGGUGAAUACGUUCCCGGGCCUUGUACACACCGCCCGU